rnacentral:lncRNA from 1 species
CCCUGGCAUGCCCGGGACAGCUGAUGCUCCAGGAGCAGGUGAACAUGGCCAGAAUAUCACCUUGGAGGUGUGGGGACAGAGCUGAAGACCAAGCAACACAGGUAGCACCUCUGAGGUUGGUGGGGACCCCAAGACCACCUACCCACAGGAAGUAGGACUCCCUCCUAACCAUGUGAGGUACAAAGCUUUUGCCAACAUCAGCUUGGCUUAAGUAUCGGCACUCUUUCUGGCUUCAUUCUCCUUUCUUCUAUAUCUACAGCUAAGCUAUAAAGACCAGCAUGGCGCCUGGGAUUACUAUGGAUUCAAAAAACUUUGCAAAAAUAUUUUGGAGGCUGGACUCAUCACCAGGUACCCAUCAUAAGGUCUUUAUUCAUUCAAAGCCUUGAUCAACUGAGCACUAAGCAUCACCUCAUCAAAAUCACCUGGAGUGCAGUUGGAGGCUGCAGUGAG